UUGUUAAGCAACGAAUGGUCUGAUUUUGUUGUCGGUUCAUCAUGUUAACGUCAUGUAACUCUGCUUUUCUAUAUCAACUGGUUAUUGUAGGGAUCACUUGCGCUGGAAGAUACACUCUCCAAAGAGAUAGAUAUGCUUCAGACUUAUCUUGAAGGAAUUCAUCAGGACUCAAUGUUAGACUUGGUGUUAUCAUCUCUUCCACAAGAAGCACGAUCCAAUCGAACAGAUACAGAUACAUAAGUUUAAUAUCUUGAAAGGAACACUUGGACACUUCAGUCUCACUCCACCUGGUGGCGGAGGAAUCUUAGCACUUUCACUAGCACAUAUGGCAUCGUGGCUCAAGCUAUGCUAUAAUGCUACUACUUAAGAAACAAAAGGAAGUGGACCAAUCUAACGGAGGCGUAAUUACAAACGUCGAUAAUUGUUUGGCCGAGGGCAAACUAGCAGAAGCAGCUGCUGCACUUGAAGAAGGUGUGUUUAAAGGAAGUAAAGCAGAGGAAAUAGUGAAUGAGAAUGGGUGAAACGUGCAAGAAACAGAGCCAUCACAGAAC